ACUCCUACGGGAGGCAGCAGUGGGGAAUAUUGCACAAUGGGGGAAACCCUGAUGCAGCCAUGCCGCGUGUGUGAAGAAGGCCUUCGGGUUGUAAAGCACUUUCAGUAGGGAGGAAGGUAGUGUAGUUAACACCUGCACUAUUUGACGUUACCUACAGAAGAAGCACCGGCUAACUCCGUGCCAGCAGCCGCGGUAAUACGGAGGUGCGAGCGUUAAUCGGAAUUACUGGGCGUAAAGCGCAUGCAGGCGGCCUGUUAAGUCAGAUGUGAAAGCCCGGGGCUUAACCUCGGAAUUGCAUUUGAAACUGGCAGGCUAGAGUCUUGUAGAGGGGUUAGAAUUUCAGGUGUAGCGGUGAAAUGCGUAGAGAUCUGAAGGAAUACCAGUGGCGAAGCGGCCCCUGGACAAAGACUGACGCUCAGAUGCGAAAGCGUGGGAGCAAACAGGAUUAGAUACCCCUGGUAGGAUAGCG
rnacentral:rRNA from 1 species